AUUGAACGCUGGCGGCAGGCCUAACACAUGCAAGUCGAGCGGUUGAAGGGAGCUUGCUCCCUGAUUCAGCGGCGGACGGGUGAGUAAUGCCUAGGAAUCUGCCUAUUAGUGGGGGACAACGUGUCGAAAGGAACGCUAAUACCGCAUACGUCCUACGGGAGAAAGCAGGGGACCUUCGGGCCUCGCGCUAAUAGAUGAGCCUAGGUCGGAUUAGAUUGUUGGUGAGGUAAUGGCUCAACAAGGCGACGGUCCGUAACUGGUCUGAGAGGAUGAUCAGUCACGCUGGAACUGAGACACGGUCCAGACUCCUACGGGAGGCAGCAGUGGGGAAUAUUGGACAAUGGGCGAAAGCCUGAUCCAGCCAUGCCGCGUGUGUGAAGAAGGUCUUCGGAUUGUAAAGCACUUUAAGUUGGGAGGAAGGGUUGUAGAUUAAUACUCUGCAAUUUUGACGUUACCGACAGAAUAAGCACCGGCUAACUCUGUGCCAGCCGCCGCCGUAACAC
rnacentral:rRNA from 1 species